AUUGUUUAAUUGUUUGACAAUGACAGAUGUACCCUCAAUCCCCGGAAUAGAACGAUCCCUACUUGCUUAUACUACUAUGAUAUUUUUAGGGUUAAAUUAUGCACUUGCUUUGAGCGCAUCACAAAGUUUGCUAAUUAAGUGAAGUUUCAAAGAUUAUGUUUUCCAGUUUUCAGUGUCUUCCUUGCCUCUCCAAUUCAAGUGAGCUUUUUCUUCAACACCCUUUUUGGAUUUUUCAUAAAGCCAAAAAUUUAAAACGUAAUCUUUACUGUUUCUUAGUUCUGUUGAAUCCCAACUCAGCUAAACAUCGUUUCUUUUUGUUAGUGUUGUUGUUUUUUGCUAGAGCUUGACUUUAUUCUUACAUGGGAAUACUGUUCCUUUUUGUGUUUGGUUGGUGGGUUUAGUUCGGAGGUCUGCUUUGGGUUUAAAAGCUGCAUUUGUGAUGCUGCAUCUGAUAUCUGCUGGUGUUCUUUUUCUGUUUGAUGGAGGUUUGAUAGAGAAAACUAAAAGAGAAUCAUGGUAUGCUAUUUCUUCUUUACUCUUCGUUUAUCUUGUGUUUUAAUUGCAUGUCAAAUUGUGGAGUGGAAAGUAUAGCCUAUUUGUGCACUGGGUUACUUUGAAUGGAUAUCCCCUAUUCCAGUUGUAUCGAAGUGGAAAGACAAGUAAUUGGAAUUCUAAAUUUAGGAUCAGGAAGUUAACUUUAUCAUAUAUACACAGAUGAGUUUUAAUUGGUGUCUCAAAUUAGUGUAAAUUAGGUAGAGCUUGUUAUUCAGCAAUGUGUGCAUUGUGUUGUGUGUAAAAGGAGGCAAUUUAUAAUUGCAAACAAAUCAGUGGAACAUAUGAAAUUGGAAAAUAAAUGUACUUAAAUGGCAUAACUAACUGGGUCAUCAUAUUUGAAUUGCUUUAUGAGUGUUUUCCUGUCAUGCUUUGUCUUUCUUUUUUCUUUGUCUUUCUAUUCUAUCAUUUUUCAUGUAUACAUGAACGUGUUUGGCUCUUUUUGUAAUUACAUUGGUUCAAUACUUCGUUACUUCUGGUUCUUCUUCUGGGCAAAUCUAAUUGCAUUCCGAAUCUGAACGAUUUUAUGUAUCUCUUUUUUAAAAUUUUACUACUCUUCUAGAAUUAUAUACGUGACAUCAGUUUUAAUAUCCAACUCUCCAAGCUAAAUCCCAUUUUUCGGCAUUAUAGAUGUUUAGACAAAGCAGUUCUGCAGCUGAAGGAAAACGGUGUAGACCCAAGUCCUUGGAGGCUUUGCACUGUGACUCAAGUAGAGGAAUGAAAGGUUGGAGUUAGGCUCAUUAGGCUAGCGUUGAAAGCAGAUGAUUGGCUUAGCUCUGACUUAAACAAAUUGAAGAAUUGGAUGUGGUUGGCUUUAUCGACCCUGCACCCACCGAUUUAAUUGGAUGUGGAAAUCCCACUGAACGGGCACGGUCUAUGUCAAAUCUGUACAUGUUAGGGAAACCGGGGCAAAUAUUUUUGGUUCUAUAUAACUCAAGUGCUCAUUGGAUGUUGUUGGUGGUGAACCCGGAUGAAGAAGUCAUGCAUUUCAUAGAUCCACUAAAAAAACGAAAGUGCCGGUGAAUGGAAAACUAUUGUCGACAACUUCAUUAAAAUCUUCAAUGCCCAAAAGAGUAGGAAAUGAAGGAAAAUAAUCUAAUGGAAGAAUCUUGCUGGUAUUCUCGAGCAAACUGAUUCUAACACCUGUGGUUAUUUCAUCAUGCGUUAUAUGAAAGAAAUUGUGGAGCACAACAACUUGGAGUUUGCUACCAAGGUGAGUCACACGUGGUCAACUUGACAGUUCCGUGACGGAAAGUUGACGUAGGUGCUACGUUGACAACCAAUUGUAAGUCCAGGUAUCACAUUGAUAACAUUCAGAGUUCAGGUAUCAUUGUGAAAGUCACCAAAGUGUCUAGACACCGUUGGUGAAUUUUUCCCUUUAGAGUGGGAAAGGAAAUCAAAUCUUGCUUACACACAGGAUGAUAUUGAUGUGGUUCGAGCUGAAUGGGCAAAUCAUGUUAUGCAGUUCUAACUUGGGUUCUGUUUAAGAUAGAUGAGUAGCACUUGGAACUGCUUUUGUGCAUUUAUAUAUAACUGAAGGAAAGUAUUGAUGAACCUAAAUUAUGCAUGCAGAUUAUGCAUGCAGUUGCUCUGCCUUGCUACUCUUUCUUUACCUUAUAGGUUUUGGUCCUCUCGAUCAUUAUGUAACUGUUGGCUAGGUUUGGAGUUGGAGCUAUGGAUUGUAUUUUGGAUGAUGUUGAUGCAAUGAAACGUAGGGAUCAUUUUGAAUGCUGA